rnacentral:lncRNA from 1 species
CCCACGGGUGAGCCUUGGAGGGAAGCUGAACAAGACACUCAGCAAGGAUUGGGGAUUCUAUGACUCACUCGGCUCAACUCCAGGCCAGGAGUGAGGGUGCCGAUUGCUUCCAACCUGUUCUUUGGAGCCAAGAGUUACAACAGCCAGGGGCUCUGUGACCCCUCUACUCCAACAAGAC